CCCACUCUACCAGACAGUGUCUCUGAUAGGCUCCUUCCUUCCCACGCUACGAGGCAGUGUCUCUGAUUGGCCCUUCCUUCCGCCCCCUGUCCUGGGACUCCAUCCUCUAUCCUGGUGCCCGGUUCCCAGCUGCUUUGCUGAGUUUCCCAGCAGUGCCCGCGGGGCUCAGGCGGCGGCCACUGCCCAGGCAUGCUGCCUGGCCGUUUUGCAACCGUGGCUCGCCCUGGCCCUUCUGCCAAGUUCCAGGAGCCCUGGCACAGCAGCGGUGCGGCCUGCCCACCUCUGCCCAGGUGUGCUCAGCACCUGCCCUGCUGGCUCCGCCUCCCUGCGCUGUGUGACCGGGCAGGCCCCGCUCUGAGCUUCAAUCCUCUCUUGUGAUAAACCGGAACUUCGAAUGUUAAAUGUGCAGACUGAGGUUCAAAGUCACACAGGCAGCCCGCGGCCACCCGGUCCCCCUCCUGGAAAGAGAGACCAAGACCAGACAGACAACUGGGAGCGCUGCCAAGCCUUGGCUCUGCGGAGGAGGAAAGGAAUCCAGUUUCACUCCCUCCUGGACAUUUCCUGUCGUGACCAGCGAUUUCUGUUUUCAUUCUAUAUUUUUGGUUUUUUGAGUCUGGCUACAGAGCCCCGGCUGGCCACCAGCUUGCAGCGAUCCUCCCGCCUCAGCUUCCCGAGCACUGGGAUGACCGCCGUGUGCCACCACGCCCAGCUGUGUCAGGGGAACUGAGGCCGGCAGGGGGCCGCCGCUGACCCCUUAGACGCCCUGCACAUGCAGAAAGCCCCGAGCCGGGUCCUGGCCUCACUGCACUGAGCGCUCGCUGGGCGAAGCUCUGGCCCCGGACCCAGCUCGGCCCCUCCUGUGCCCGGUGGGCCUGGCACGGGCGCCCUGGGCGGGAGCCCAGGUGCCACCCGGAGCCGGGAGCUGCCCGUGCACGCCACGCCCUGCGCCUGCCCCGCCGGCCUCCUCCAAACCGCCGCAAGCAUCUCCCCCGCGCGUGUCCCUGCUGCGGAGAAACUGAGGCACAGGCCUCUGGGGGGGCACGGGACCGUCGGGGUGGGCAGGGCUGCCUGCGGGGUCCCCGUUAGAAUAUCCUGCAGGCCGAGCAGCUCCUGGGGUGCCGUGCGGUCCCAAAUGGAUUGCUUCUCUUCUGGGCCUCAGUUUCCCCAUUUAUAAAGUGGACUCCCCCCCCCCGCAGUGCCGGAGAUUAACUCGGGGUCCCCACCCUGAGCCCCAGCCCAGCCCUUUGCAGUGUUUAGUUUGUUAGUUUUGUCUUUUUGAGCAGCGGCUCAGGCCGGCCUUGAGCUUGCUGUGCAGGGCAGGCUGGCGGGAGUCAGCGACCCUCCUGCCUCGGCCUCCCCAGGGCUGAGCGCACAGGCCUGCGCCCCGCUGCAAGUUUUGUUCCUGAGACACUAAGUGGCCAAGACCGACCGGCCCGGCAGCGGAGACCAGAGAGGGCUGCCCGGAGCGGGGGGCGCACAGCCGGGCGGUGGGUAACGGCAGGAAGUCGGUUACACGCGGUCGUUGGCACUGUGACUUCCGGCAGCGCUGUGGCCUCUGCGAGGCGGGGAGUGGCCUGCACCCCGAGCCCACCAGCCAUCCCGGGGCACAGAGGGAGCCCGGGGUCGGGGACACGGGCGGGCACCCCGGCAGCAAGACAGGUGCCCAGUGUGAUGCCAUCGCGCGGCUCAAAGGGGGGCAUCGUCUGGGGUGCCCCCUCCCCAUUUUUAAACUAGAUGCACAGUAGCCGGGCGUGGUGGCUCAUGACUGUCAUCCCAGCACUCGGGAGGCCGAGGCAGGAGGGUCGCUGCGAGUUCAAGAACAGCCUCGACUGCACAGCGAGACCCGGCCUCAAAAAGUCCAAAAAAAUAAUAAUAUAAAAUAUAAAUAAAUGGGGGUGUGGGUGCCUGAGGAGCGAACCCAUGGCUUCGCACUGGGCUCCAUCCCCAGCCUUUUAAAUUUUUUUAUUUUGAGACAGGGCCUCAUUAAGCUGCCCAGGCUGAGCUCAAGUGGAGAUCCUCCUGCCUCAGUCUCAGGGAGCGGUGGACUCACCGGUUGCAUCCCCAACCAGGCUCCCCUAUCCGGGACCCCAGCACAGAGGGCAGGUUGCUGGCGUCCCCCACGCAGGUGUCCAGAGAAGGGACAGCGGGGCUGUGUGUGUACUGAGUGACCGCCCAGGCGCUGUGUGUGGUGGACCUUUUUUUUUUUUUUCACAGCUUUUGGGCAGAAUGAGCCGGUUUUAUGGUUCCCAUUUCUCAGAGGGGUAGAUUGAGGCAGAGUCACCUUGACAAAAAGUCACAGGGCUGAGAGUAGAACAUGGCGCCCCCUGGUGGCAGAGGCUGCUGUGGGAGUCGCUGAUCAGCUGCUUCCAGCUGCCAGUGUCUCUGAGCCCUGGACCUGGGGACACACGCGGGGCACCUGGGCACCUCGGUUCUUCUCCCACAUGCCCUUCACGUCCCCUAGGGUCACUGGGUUUUAUCACCCAGGCUGGGGACGGCAUGUGAGCACCUGGGAGGUUGGCGCCGUGGCUGCACCGCUGCCAGCUGCUUCUGCCCACCGGCAUCGCUCAGCUCCAGGACCAAGGAGAGGCAUCAUUUCCCUCUGUGCUUUCCUCUUUUAUUUGGGGAUACCUAGAAUUUUUUUUUUUAUCGGUACCGGGGAUCGAACUCACGAGGCUGCUUGCAAGGCAGGUGCUUAUGCCACUGAGCUAAAUCCCAAGUCCCCUUUUUUUUGGAGGGGUACCUAGAAUUUAUGAGGGACACAAUCCUUCAAGCCAUAACCCUGAUUAUGAAUAUGGGUGUUUAUUUUUCAUUUCUGUAUAAUAUUCCACUGAACAACCUCAUUGUAUAGUCCAGGCUGCCCUGGAAUUCAAUCCCCUUCUGCCUUUCACUUUCCUCCCUGCAGUCCACAGGGCCCUGCCAUCCCCUCCCAGCACCCUCUCCUCUCUCUGCCCCUUUCACUGCUGGAGUCCUGUGGUGCCCCAGGGCCUUUGCAUGGCUGUGCUCUUUGCCAGAAACUGUUCCCUGCUAUCCUCAAGGCCAGUUUCUUCUCAUCAUUCCGAUGCCUUCUGCCAUUUCCUGCCAUUCUGGGUUUGGAUUCGCACCUUCAUCGUGGUCGGAAGUGACCACAUUGCUUUGCAUAACUGUACCACUGUCCUGGCCACUGUGUUCCCAGGCUCUGGAACAGGGCUCAGCACCUAGGAGGAACUGGAUAAAUAUCUAUACCCAGGGCCAGGGGUCCGAUCUGGCUCACACCUGCCUUUAUAAAUAAAGCUUUAUUGGCACACAGUCAUGCUCACUCACAGCAUGUUGUCUAGGGUGACUUCUGCAAUGGACUCGAUGGACAUGGUCCCUCCAAGCCCAAAACAUCCAUCAUCUCCUCUUUAUAGAAAAAGUUUGCUGAAUUUUGCUGUAGAUAAAGGGAGAGAAAAAACAAAGCAAUGCUCCUGGGGAGGGAAGGGUUAAAUACAGCUUGGCACUGAGUCACGCUGGAGUACUACUCUGCCAGGAAGAAGGGGGCCUUGGGUCAUUUGUAGAAAAAACGGAUGCGCCUGGAGACCAUAAUGGCCAGUAAAAUAAAUCUGACACAGAGGGCUAAA